rnacentral:rRNA from 1 species
ACGGAGGGUGCGAGCGUUAUUCGGAAUUACUGGGCGUAAAGCGCGUGCAGGCGGGGAGGCAAGUCUGUUGUGAAAGCCCUGGGAUUUAACCGGGACGCGCAUUGGAAACUGUCUUUCGUGAGUAUUGGUGUGGAAGUGGGAAUUCCCGGUAUAGAGGUGAAAUUCGUAGAGAUCGGGAGGAAUACCAGUGGCGAAGGCACCCUUCUGGACGUUUUCUGACGCUGAGACUCGAAAGCGUGGUGAGCAAACAG